rnacentral:sRNA from 1 species
AAAGACACAGCAGGCUGCAACCCAACUGGAGACUACUGCAGGCUGCCAUGGAUGAGAGGUAGGGCAUCUAGUUUCAUUCUUCUGCAUAUGGAUAUCCAGUUUUCCCAGCACCAUUUUAUAUAAGGGACUUGAGCAUCUGCAGAUUUUGAUAUCCACAGCAGGUCCUGGAACUAAUCUCCCGCAGAUACAAAGGGACAGCUAAAGUUGUCUCUUAGGGUUUCUGCAAGUAUUAAAGAGAUAUCACAUGGAAAACACUUGGAACCAUGUCUGGCAGGUAGCAAGUACUGAAUAAAUGCUAACUCUUCAUAUUGCUGCUGAGAUUCAGAAUGCUUGAAGUGACCAGGCGCAGUGGCUCAUGCCUGGGAGACUGAGGCAAGAGGGCUGCUUGAGCCCAGGAGUUCAAAAACAGCCUGGGCAAAAUAGCAAGACCCUACCUCUUAAAAAAAAAAAAAAAAAAAAAAAAAAAGCUUGAAGACUGUUGAAUGCUGCCUUGUUUGUGGAGUAUCAGGUAUGUAGAACAGUCCUGGCCCCUGGCCAAAGCUUUGAAACAACUGCUGUAAGAUCCUAAUUAAAUGUUCAGCCUCCUACUGUCUUCUUCCUGUUCCUCACGCACCUACUCAACAAGCAAUUCUCAAGCCUGUCCUGCGCCCCUAUGGUGACUCUGUGCUUGGAGCUCCAGUGAGCCCACCAGAAGCAUGCUAUUAUCCCUGCCCUCCUGGAACCUACAUUCUGAAAGGAAAGCAAACUCAUCAUCCAUGACACUGAGGACAAGGCCAGGCAGGAGGCACCACAGCCAAUCUAUGAGGACUUAGGAAGGAAGCAGUCUCUGCAGCCUGUUUCUUGUGAUCCAGGAAGACCAGAAUUCUUCCUCAGCAACUUCCAUCUCUCCUCGCCACAGUGUGUCCCAAGCACACAAGUGAUGCCAUCAUUCCCGGCUGGUUCUUCUCUCCCUGUUAAGCCCCACUUGGGCUUUCCCAGACUCCUUGGAUCAAAGAUUCUUCUAAUAUUUUCUCUUCCUCUGAAUCAAGAGUCUUCUUUUAACCUUUCUUGUUUUGUCUCUGGCUGUCACUCUUUUUCCCCUGUGUAUACUACACCUACUUCUCCUCCUAAUCUUUUACUGAGCAAAUAUCUGGAACAUUACAAGUAAACAAGUAUCUUGUAAGUUUACAUUUACAUUUCACACACAUAAGGCCAAGAGCUCCCUGAGGACAAAGAUUGUUACCUACAAAGAUUGUAGGUAACUGUGUAGUUCCUACAACACCUGGCUUGGUACUUAUCUGUGCCCCAAAGGAAUACAUACAUGAAGAAGUGGGCUUUUAUCACAAAUUCCUCAGUGUCUACAACAGAAAAAGUCUUUUUAAAAUUGACCAUUUUGUUCUAACAGUCUCUGAUCCCCACUCUUGGUGCCAGCCCAGGGCCAAAGCUAAUGGGUGAGGAUGGAAAUACAAGCACCUUCAACAUCUCCUGCACCAAGUUCUUCCUGGUGGGUUUCCCUGGACUUCGAGAGUGGUGGCCCCUUCUGGUCCUGCCUCUUGUCUUCCUCUUUGUGACCAUCAUCUCUGCCAAUGCCCUGGUCAUCCACACAGUGGUUGCCCGGCAAAAUCUGCAUCAGCCUACGUGUAUGCUCAUCACUGUGCUCCUGGCUGUCAAUAUUCGUGCUGCCACAGCCGUGAUGCCUAAAAUGCUGGAGGGCUUUGUAUAUUAUGCUAACCCCAUAUCGCUGCAUGGCCGCCUGGCCUAGGUGUUCUUUAUCUACUUCACCCUCCUCCUGGACUACAACUUCCUCUGGCCAUGGCCCUGGACUGCUACGUGGCCAUCUGCCACCCACUCUGCUAUUCUGACCUGAUGACCUCCCAGCUGCUGGGACUGCUGGCCAUUCUUGCCUUGACACAGAGCCUGGGAGUGGCAGUGCCCUUGGUAGUGCUAACUGCAAAAGCCCGAUUCUGCCGGACAGUAGUGAUUCGACACUUCACCUGUGAGUGCAUUGCACUGCUGAGCAUAGCUUGUGGAGACCUGACCUUCAACAACUGGCUGGGGCUGGCUAUGUGGUUGGUCACUGUAACCUCUGAUAUGGCCCUGCUGGGGACCUCCUACAGCCACAUCAUCUAUGCUGCCUUCCGGAUCUCUUCUUGGGGAGCCCAAGCCAAGGCCUUACACAUGUGUGGCUCCCACCUACUGGUCAUCCUCUCCAUCUACGUCUCUGGUCUUUCCACUUCCAUCACCUUCUGAGUAGCCAAGACUGUGUCCCAGAAUGUCCAGAAUCUACUCAGUGCCAUAUACUUGCUGCUUCCAGGAGCCUUGAAUCCUGUCAUUUAUGGGGUGAGGACUAGGGAGAUCCAGCAACAUGUAGAAAAGAUGCUCUGUGAAAAGGAAACAGCCCAGAAGGCUGGGGAGAAGCCAAAGAGGCUGCAGAACAUGAGACUGGAAACCGCCAGGGUGAGGGACUUUACUAACUUCGGAAGUUGGGGCUAUGAUCUCUGAGAAGAGAUAAGCAGGCAGUACUCAGGGACAGGCUCAAAUUUCCUCAGCAGAUUAUGGGCUCAACAGCAGGUUCCCUGUUGGUCAACUGUUGCUUGUUAAAUUCUUAGAAUGCUCUUUGUUUUCACCCCC